UACGUAGGGUGCGAGCGUUGUCCGGAAUUACUGGGCGUAAAGAGCUCGUAGGUGGUUUGUCGCGUUGUCCGUUGAAAACUCACAACUCAAUUGUGGGCGUGCGGGCGAUACGGGGCAGACUGGAGUACUGCAGGGGAGACUGGAAUUCCUGGUGUAGCGGUGGAAUGCGCAGAUAUCAAGGAGGAACACCGGUGGCGAAGG
rnacentral:rRNA from 1 species